UACGAAGGGGGCUAGCGUUGCUCGGAAUUACUGGGCGUAAAGCGCACGUAGGCGGCUCUUUAAGUCGGAGGUGAAAUCCUGGAGCUCAACUCCAGAACUGCCUUCGAUACUGUAGAGCUUGAGUUCGGGAGAGGUGAGUGGAACUGCGAGUGUAGAGGUGAAAUUCGUAGAUAUUCGCAAGAACACCAGUGGCGAAGGCGGCUCACUGGCCCGAUACUGACGCUGAGGUGCGAAAGCGUGGGGAUCAAACAGG
rnacentral:rRNA from 1 species